rnacentral:lncRNA from 1 species
AGCACAGUCUCCCUGCCAGAUGUGCAGUACUGAGUGACCCUUCUGUGCCAUUCCCCGGCCCUGCCAGCUCCUCCUCAUGCCCGAGCUUGCUGACAGAGGAUGGUGUCCCUCGGCCGGUGCUGGCACAUUAUGCCGGGACAGCUGCGCGGAGUGAGCAGCAGCGAUGUGCUGGGCUGCUCCUGCAUCCUUCGGAGCAGCAGUCUCCCCUGCGCCUGGAGCAGUCAGGGGCUGGGGUGCUGCAGGCAGCCUGGCUUGGGGACCAAGGGGCCGCUGGGCGUCAGAGGAAGCUGCUCCACUGGUGGAGAUGAUACGAUGCUGUCACCUGACUGCAAGAUGGUACAUUUUGAAGAAUUCAGCAGGAAGUUUGUCAGCCAUCUCAAACUGGUCACUCCAGUGUUCCUGCACUUACUAGCCUGGAUAAAACUGCCACUGAACCACUUCUUUUAAGAAAGUAUUUCAAGGGCAGAAAAUUCUCAGAAAUGUUUUUCAGAUGGGCACCUCCCUAUCUUCACUUUCAAAGAACAAUUUUAAGCUAAGGAGCACCUGAAACAGGAAACUUUAAAACAAAGAUUUCAGAGAUGUGUCAGUAUCUUGUGUAAGGUAUGGCAGCCAUCUCAGGCUAUGUUAUCUUGUCCUUCACCAGAAAUUGCUCUUAAUCAUUUAUAGCUAUCUUAUACAUGCAUCUUGCAUCUUUAACAGAUCGAUUCCCUUUAUGUGAAAUGCACAAUUCAAAAAUCAGGUAUUAUUAUGCUGUUACCAGGCAUAAUUAGCCUUAUGUAUUUUGUUUACAGAUUACACUGAAACUGUUCUGUAUGCCUUCUGAACAGAUCAUGCUGGCUUUGCAUUAAUGGCAUUUUAUGGUCUGCUUUAAUUUUCAAAAUGCAAGACCAGUAGUUGAAUCUGCCACACAGGAAAUAUGGGAUCUUUCAGAAACUAUGGGAUUAAGAAAAAGAGUCAGUGACUUUCCAGAGGAAAUAUCAGUAAGUCAGUAAAAGGCAAACAAUAGCAUGCUUGAUAUUACAAUAAAUGGGUUAUAAAAGCUGUUUCUCCUUCUUCA